rnacentral:rRNA from 1 species
GACGAACGCUGGCGGCGUGCUUAACACAUGCAAGUCGAGCGGUAAGGCCCUUUCGGGGGUACACGAGCGGCGAACGGGUGAGUAACACGUGGGUGACCUGCCCUCAGCUCUGGGAUAAGCCUGGGAAACUGGGUCUAAUACUGGAUAUGACUCCACGGUGCAUGUCGUGGGGUGAAAGCCUUGUGCGGCUGAGGAUGGGCCCGCGGCCUAUCAGCUUGUUGGUGGGGUGNNGGCCUACCAAAGGCGACGACGGGUAGCCGGCCUGAGAGGGCGACCGGCCACACUGGGACUGAGACACGG